rnacentral:misc_RNA from 1 species
UUUCCGUAGGUGAACCUGCGGAAGGAUCAUUAUUGAAUGAAACACUUCUGGCUUUAUGCUGUUGUGCUGGCCCUUUGGGCAAUGAGCACACGGCUCUGGUCACUUGUUUCUUCUGUUCCACCUGUGCACUGCCUGUAGACACGCUGUGUCUAUGAUAUUUGUUAACACACAACAAUGUUAGUUGGCAUGUUAUAUAUAAUAAUAAAAUAUACAACUUUCAACAACGGAUCUCUUGGCUCUC